UCAGUUGUACUUUAUCCAGUGC
rnacentral:miRNA from 1 species